rnacentral:rRNA from 1 species
AGCUACUGCCAUCAGAGUUCGAUUAAGCCAUGUUAGUCGAGGGUGCUUCUUUUUCGGAAGAGGUAACCCGGCGGACGGCUCAGUAACACGUGGACAACUUACCCUUGGGCCCGGGAUAACCCCUGGGAAACUGGGGCUAAUAUCGGAUAGAGCAUCGGUUGCUGGAAUGCACGAUGUUCGAAAGCUGAGGCGCCCAAGGAUAGGUCUGCGGCCGAUUAGGUUGUUGUUGAUGUGACGGAUCGACAAGCCUACGAUCGGUACGGGUUGUGAGAGCAAUAGCCCGGAGAUGGGUUCUGAGAGAAGAACCCAGGUCCUACGGGACGCAUCAGGCGCGAAAACUUUACAAUGUGCGAAAGCACGAUAAGGGAACUCUGAGUGCCUCCUAAGGAGGCUGUUCAGGUGUCUAAAAAGCACCUGAAGGAAGGGCUGGGCAAGACCGGUGCCAGCCGCCGCGGUAACACCGGCGGCCCAAGUGGUAGCCAUGCUUAUUGGGUCUAAAGCGUCCGUAGCCGGCUGAGUAAGUUUCUUGGGAAAUUUGACCGCUUAACGGCCAAGCUUUCAGGGAAUACUGCUUGGCUUGGGACCGGGAGAGGUCAGAGGUACCUCAAGGGUAGGGGUGAAAUCCUUUAAUCCUUGGGGGACCACCGGUAGCGAAGGCGUCUGACCAGACCGGGUCCGACGGUGAGGGACGAAGGCUAGGGUCGCGAACCGGAUUAGAUACCCGGGUAGUCCUAGCUGUAAACGAUGCGGGCCAGGUGUUGACAUUACUGCGAGUGAUGCCAGUGCCGAAGGGAAGCCGUUAAGCCCGCCAUCUGGGGAGUACGGUCGCAAGGCUGAAACUUAAAGGAAUUGGCGGGGGAGCACCACAACGGUUUGAUCCCGCCGG